GGGAGUUGGGUCAGGUGUUUGGAAGAACUUUCUCCCCCCAGGCAUUUAUCCUCCUCCUUGCUGUUAACUGUGUUUGUCACCUGAUAGCUGACCUUACUCAUGAAGACUGAAGGAAAAAAGGGGUCUUCAGAGAGUGAUUAUGCAUCCCUGAUGUGAAGUUAUAACGUAUGUACCAUAGGAAAUUCUGGUGAUUAAAGAUCAUGGCAACCAUAGAGGAACUGGCCCAUCAAAUUAUUGAACAUCAAAUGGGAGAGAUUGCGCACUCCCAAGGAGCUGCUACACAAACCCUGAUGGAUGGAACAGCACAAAGAAUACAAAUUGUCCCAGGUGAUUCAGGACUGUCUUUACCACAACGCAUACAGGUAUG